AGUGAACGCUGGCGGUAGGCCUAACACAUGCAAGUCGAACGGCAGCACAGUAAGAGCUUGCUCUUACGGGUGGCGAGUGGCGGACGGGUGAGGAAUACAUCGGAAUCUACUUUUUCGUGGGGGAUAACGUAGGGAAACUUACGCUAAUACCGCAUACGACCUACGGGUGAAAGCAGGGGAUCUUCGGACCUUGCGCGAUUGAAUGAGCCGAUGUCGGAUUAGCUAGUUGGCGGGGUAAAGGCCCACCAAGGCGACGAUCCGUAGCUGGUCUGAGAGGAUGGUCAGCCACACUGGAACUGGGACACGGUCCAGACUCCUACGGGGGGCAGCAGUGGGGAAUAUUGGACAAAGGGCGCAAGCCUGAUCCAGCCAUACCGCGUGGGUGAAGAAGGCCUUCGGGUUGUAAAGCCCUUUUGUUGGGAAAGAAAAGCAGCAGGUUAAUACCCCGCUGUUCUGACGGUACCCAAAGAAUAAGCACCGGCUAACUUCGUG
rnacentral:rRNA from 1 species